rnacentral:rRNA from 1 species
UACGUAGGGGGCAAGCGUUGUUCGGAAUUAUUGGGCGUAAAGGGUGCGUAGGCGGUUUUGUAAGUCUUGUGUGAAAUCUUCAGGCUCAACUUGAAGACUGCACGAGAAACUGCAGGGCUUGAGUGUGGGGAGAGGUGAGUGGAAUUCCUGGUGUAGCGGUGAAAAUGCGUAGAUAUCAGGAGGAACACCUGUGGCGAAAGCGGCUCACUGGACCACAACUGACGCUGAUGCACGAAAGCUAGGGGAGCAAACAGG